UCAAAUAGAAAGGGGGGACCUUGAGGGGAAGAGAAACAGCUAGAAGUACCCAGGAUAAUGUAGGUAUUGGGGAAGUAGAGGCUUGCCCUCCCCCACCCUCCUACCUAUCCCAAUGACUCUGACAGGAUGGUGUGGAUUUCUAGAGAAGUUAUUAUUGUCGCUGUAAUUUGUACUGAAGAGGCAUCUGGGCAGUACAGCUGGUGGCUGCCCCUUGUAGGAGCAGGACAUUGGUCUGGCAAUCAUGCUGUGGUAUGACAGAGAUCCAUGAAGUAGGGUAGAAGCAGCCAGAGUUUAGAGUCUGGAGAAGACAAGACUGAGACUGGUGGAAACUGCCUAAGACCAAGAGGUGAAAGAGGUGACCAGCUCUUGCUUACAAAGGGGCUAUGCCUUCCAGGGACCAGCACACACCACCCAUUGCUGAGAACAGUCCCCUCAUCCUCUUGAGGUUCCUGGAAUAUUCAAAUCUGGUAUUUGAGUCUCUGAGCAAGCUCACGGACUCCGAUUUUUCAACUGUGUGACUGCUGCAGGCAAAAUGGCUGUAAGGAACACCAGGACGUGCAGUGAGCGCCCGACCCCCAGAGGCACUGAGCCAUGGAACUGCCGACCCAGGAAAAUGAGUUUUCCAGUCUAUGUUACCUGAGCUGUGUGCUCCAGGAGAGAAGGGCCACGUCGCUGCUCACCGUUGCAUUCUGAGCGCUCAGCACACUGGUAGGUUCUCAG